rnacentral:rRNA from 1 species
UACAGAGGUCUCGAGCGUUAGGCGGAAUUACUGGGCGUAAAGCGUGCGCAGGCGGUGAUGUAAGACAGGUGUGAAAUCCCCGGGCUCAACCUGGGAACUGCAUUUGUGACUGUAGAGCUGGAGUGCGGCAGAGGGGGAUGGAAUUCCGCGUGUAGCAGUGAAAUGCGUAGAUAUGCGGAGGAACACCGAUGGCGAAGGCAAUCCCCUGGGCCUGCACUGACGCUCAUGCACGAAAGCGUGGGGAGCAAACAGG